AGGCGAGAGGUCCGAUCGGGGCUUGUUUGAGUGACACAGCCACGUAGAUGAGGCUAUUUCGUCUCGGUGUGAGUGUCUGAUGUGCCCUGCUGCACUGCCACACUCUCACCCGCUAUUCACUGAUGAUGGACCACGCGUCAUAGGUACCAAAACAAACUCCUUUGCAUCACACAAGACAAGUUCAACUUUUUCUUUAAAAAAAAAAAAAAAGCCUAUACUGAAAUUAGUUUCUUGAAAAGCGACUGAAAAUUAGUUUUAAUACAUACAGUGUAGAUGUUAUUGGGUGUAGUGAAAAUGUAAACAAUGUUAUUUACAUGGGAAGAUUUAUUUGUUUUUAUUUUUUGGCACGCCGGGAAAAAAAAUGUUGCAUUUUUGCUCACAAGAAAAUCUUGCUCCUUAUACUGUAACAAGAAUUACACUGCUUACAGCAGGGGUCACCAAUCUUUAGGAAUCCGAGCAACUUCCAAAAGUGAUAGGCAGUGUUUGGUAUUAUCUGUCUUCAUCCCGUGGUGGGGGGCUAAAAUAUUAAAUUAAGUUUUACAUUAAAAAUAGAUUUUACACAUCUAAUUAAAAAUUGAGAAAAAUCUUGACAUUUUGAUUGAGAAUUGGCUGCCACUGCAAAGUACAACCAUAAUUAAAAAAAAUAAAAUAAAAAAAACUUCCACUCUGACUUUACCUUUGUCUUGCCUGCACCCGCAAGAGAAGAUAAAAACACAAUCUUAAGAGUGAUGCCCCCAGUUUGGUGAUAACGUUCACUAAAGAUUUUCAGAAAUGUUCUAUGGGGCCUGAUGCAAUCUCUUUUGGGACUUCUGCUGAUUCACAAAGAUAGUUGGAGGUGUAGUCCAGGCUUGCUUUCUUUCCUUUGCCUCCUGUAGUUGAUAAUUGUCACAUGUCUACAACUUCUCUGUUUCAGAUAGUGACUAGAGGAGUCGAAUAACAGAUUUGUCCCAAUUGGGAGCAAAAAGCCAGCUACUUCAAUUGCAACAAUUCCAUGCAGUUAGAAUGCCGAUCAGUUCUGCAAAAGGUAAAUAAUAGGGGUAGCUUCUUUUUCAUUUGAUGGUCUUACCUUCAGUGCAGCAACUGGGUGACCUUCAAUCCCUUGCAAGUGUCAAACCAAAGCUAUUUAGGGCAUGCCUGGUUAAAUGAUCACCCGCUGUUUCACCAUUAAUUGCAUACUGUGCCAGCAACCGGAGUCAGCACAUCUUCCCUAGGUUGUAGGUGCCAAGUGCCUGGACUCAUUUUUCACUAACGGUCGGGUAGGCCUUUCUCGCCUCAGGCUAUCACAAACACAUCGGCUAGAACCGGAGCAGGUGUUAAAGGAUAUCACCGCUCGCGUGUAGUAUCCAGAUCAUCAGUGGAGACACAAGUAGCAACUCAGUGACAAAAGUAGGGUCACACCCAACACCUGCCGCUGACCAUCGACGGUGCUGUGGUGGAGAGAGUGAGCAGCGCCAAGUUCCUGGGGGUGCACAUCAGUGAGGAUCUCUCCUGGUCCACCAACACCGCAUCACUGGCAAAGAAAGCUCAGCGCCGCCUGUACUUCCUGCGGAAACUCAGGCGAGCGAGCGCUCCUCCGGCCGUCAUGACUGCAUUUUACCGCGGCACCAUUGAGAGCGUCCUCUCCAGCUGUAUUGCUGUUUGGGGUGGCGGCUGCACUGACUACAACUUGAAGGCCCUGCAGCGCAUAGUGAACACGGCUGGUAAGAUUGCUGGUGCUUCGCUCCCCUCCUUGAAGGACAUUUACACCUCCCAUCUCACCCGCAAGGCGACCACGAUUGUGAGUGAUGUGAGUCACCCCGCUCACUCUUUGUUCGAGCUUCUGCCCUCUGGGAAGAGGUACAGAAGCCUGCGCUCCCGCACCACCAGACUCUCAAACAGCUUCAUGCUCCAGGCUGUUAGGAUCCUGAACUCGCUCCCCCGUUCUGCGUAGCGUCUUGUACUUUUACUGUCUGUACUGUCUGUAUGCACACUGGCUCUUAUUUGUUGUGUUAUCUGUUUAUUUAUUAUUUAUUAUUACUCUUAUUAUUUAUUGUUUGUGCCUUUUUGUGUAUGAUGUUUUUUACUUUUGCGCUAUGCUUGCUGGCUCCGUUUUGCUCCUCUUAUUUAUUGUGUUAUCUGUUUAUUUAUUAUUUAUUCAUCACUCUUACUAUUGAUUGUUUGAAUUUCUGCCUUCUUGUUUUUAUAUUGUGUCGCGUACUUGUAUGUCUAUCGUGUUAUGUGUCUCGUCACCGUGGGAUAGAGAAAAACGUAAUUUCGGUCUCUUUGUGUGUUGUGACAUGUGGAGAGAUUGACAAUAAAGCUGACUUUGAC